rnacentral:rRNA from 1 species
GGACGAACGCUGGCGGCGUGCUUAACACAUGCAAGUCGAGCGGUAAGGCCCUUUCGGGGGUACACGAGCGGCGAACGGGUGAGUAACACGUGGGUGACCUGCCCUCAGCUCUGGGAUAAGCCGUGGGAAACCGGGUCUAAUACUGGAUAUGACUCCAUGACGCAUGUUGGUGGGGUGGAAAGCCUUGUGCGGCUGGAGGAU